rnacentral:rRNA from 1 species
CACGUAGGGCGCAAGCGUUGUCCGGAAUUACUGGGCGUAAAGCGCGCGUAGGCGGCUUUGUAAGUUAGAGGUGAAAGCCCGGGGCUCAACUCCGGAACUGCCUUUAAGACUGCAUCGCUUGAAUCCGGGAGAGGUGAGUGGAAUUCCGAGUGUAGAGGUGAAAUUCGUAGAUAUUCGGAAGAACACCAGUGGCGAAGGCGGCUCACUGGACCGGUAUUGACGCUGAGGUGCGAAAGCGUGGGGAGCAAACAGG